GGUGGCGAGUGGCGGACGGGUGAGUAACACGUGGGCAACCUGCCCUUCACUCUGGGAUAACCCCGGGAAACCGGGGCUAAUACCGGAUACGACCCCUGCAGGCAUCUGCGGGGGUGGAAAGUUUUUCGGUGAAGGAUGGGCCCGCGGCCUAUCAGCUUGUUGGUGAGGUAGUGGCUCACCAAGGCGACGACGGGUAGCCGGCCUGAGAGGGCGACCGGCCACACUGGGACUGAGAUACGGCCCAGACUCC
rnacentral:rRNA from 1 species